UUCUCUCUUCGAGACCAUUUCAUCAGAAGCUCAGCCUCGUAGGUAUCGUCACUUCUCACUUCUCCUUGAAGAUGGUGUAUCUUCUUCUCAAUUCUCUUUGUUUUUCCUUGUAGGUAUCUAUCAUAUGCUGGGACUUCUCCUUCGCGGGUUAUGCAUUUUUCCAGCUACAUGUCAUGUGUAUUCUAUCUUCAUUGAAAUUAGAAAUUUCUGAGAAGGGUUCUUGAAAAAUAUCUUAAAAUAGGCAAAUGGGUUUUUGUGAAGUAGAUUCUACUUGUUAGAAUUUAUGUUUAUUGUGUAAUCUUGUUGUGGCUUAGAGUGUGUAUCUCAAUUUUUGUGAGGAUUGAGAAAUCUCUGCAAAAAAAUUUAGAUGAAAACUUGAAAUUUAUAUUGGAAAUUCUCAGUUUAGGAAGAGUUGAUGUUAUGGAAGAUGAGUUUUGAUUCUUCAUUCUACAGGAUAGAUUUUAUCUAUCAAAAAGCUCAAGCUUUUGACCACUGGGAUAAAGUUUUCAACUCGAUAAGUCUUUUCUAACAAUAAGAUGAACUAAUGUAUUUUUUAAACUACAAAAGUCAAUGAAUUCUAGCAUUAAGAGAUAUAGUUUUUCUCUUGCGAGUAAAAUUUGAAGUUCUAAGUUUGUAUUUUCUUCCUUCUUCUCUGAGAUUUUUGGUGGACGAACAACAAGUUGGUCAUCAAGCUCUCGUCGCAUCAGUUCAAUACUUAAAAGGAGGUAAUGAUCCUUUUCUCAUUAGUAUAAGAAUAUUGUUUGCCAACAUAGACUAAAAUUUGUUAUGCUUUCUGAAUUCUUUCUUAUGUGCAAACUGAUGUAUUAAAUGUUCUCGUUAGAAUGUGGAGUGUUAAUGGAUUUUAGUGAGGUGGAUGGUAAGUUUAACUUCUAAAUUAUUGGGUAUCGACUGUUCGACAAUGUCUAAUGGAAUACAAUUAUCUUUACUAGUAUAGAGAAAUUACUUUUUGGAUGGAACAAUUAAUUCUCCCUCUUUUCCUGAUUAUUUCAUGUUUAGAUUGGUUGUGUAUUUAUUAACCUGCAUUUUCCUAUUUAUUUAUUGGAUUUACUUCUCUAUGAGUAUUGCUUUUGUUAGACGUGUACGUCUUCUAAGUAAAAGCAACAUGUGGCCUCUGUAAAAAAUUUAUGUGUAGAAAAAUAUAAUCUAGUCCAGCUGCAAUUUGUUCUCCUGUAUUUUUCACUGUUAGUAAACGUGUAUUUCAUGAGAUUACUAUUGGAUUAAAGACAACUUUGUACUAAUACACAUAGGCAUCGACCUCUAUUUUCAUGGUCUGUCCAGAGCAAUAGUUCGUUCAAUACUUCAUGAUAUUUAAUCCCGUCUUACUACUAUCUUGAUAACUCUAUAAUAACUUAUACUACCAUUAGGAUAUUUCAGAUUCCAUAUUUUUCUACUUCUUAAAGGAUUUUGUAUAAAGGAUUUUUCAUUUCCCUGUAUAUGUUCUCUUUAAAUUUUGGACAAGUAGUUUAAGUUUAGAGUGUUGGACACCAUGUACCGGUGAUGUCAUUGAUAUGCCAACUCAUGAUCUACAUUCAGAAGAUAUAGAAGAAGAUAUGGAAACAUCAGAAGAAGAUGAGGACUUUGAUGAUGAUGAGGACUUAUAUGAUACCGAUUGGGAUUGGAUGGUGGCUGAUUAUUGAGGAAGGGACUUUUCAGAAAUUUCUCUAUUGCAUUUUCUUAUUUGUACUUC
rnacentral:lncRNA from 1 species